UAUUUACGCUGAUUUUCACAGCUAUUUUUAUUUUUUUUGAAUAUGAGAUUUUAUUUAUGCUGAUUUUCACAGUUAUUUUUAUUUUUUUUAAGUAUGAGUAAUUUUUUUCUCUCAUCAAGAUGUGAAUUAUCUCCCUUUUCGUCUAGGUGAAAGUUUACAUGAUUUAUUAGUUCUAUACUUUUUAGGUGAACCGCGCUUACUGAAUGAAAAUUUUGCUUUGCGACUUACCUAAUCUUAUUUGUUUUCUUUUAUUUUCUUUGGUUGUGCAUCUCUAUAUUUUUCAAGAUUGAAUAUGGUGAAAGAAAAUAGUGAUUCAAUAAAAUAGAAUCUUGAAUGCACCUCCCUUUCAUUGCUUAUUUGUAGUAAUAAUCUUAUGACUCUUUCUUAGUUAUGGAAAUGGUGGUAAUAAUCUUAUGACUCUUUCUUAGUUAU
rnacentral:lncRNA from 1 species